GUAAGCAGAACUGGCGAUGCGGGAU
rnacentral:ncRNA from 4 species